GCAAAUAAGUCAAGAUUGACAAAUGUAUAGGCUCUUCAUCUUAUUGUGUGUGUGUGUUUUUUUUUCCCUUUUAGUUAUUUGGCAAGGUGUAAAGAACUCUCUCACUCUGAAGGCAGUAAACUUCAUGGGGUGUAAUCUGACAUGGCAGGGAGCAGAUCACAUGGCCAAGAUCUUAAAGUAUCAGACUACCAGAAGGCAUGAAGAAACCUGGGCUGAGAGACUUCCUUCCAGGAGAUCUGAUCUUGACUGUAUGGCUGGUUGGAGGUGCAUCACUCUGAACUACAACACGCUCAUUGGUGACCUGGGUGCAAGUGCUUUUGCGGAAUCUCUUAGUGAGGAUUUGUGGCUUGGAGUACCAGUGGAUAACUUCUCCAUCGGUGAAGGAACCAUCCAAAGCUGCUAGACAGAAAAAGAGAACUAUGAUUUUGGGAAGUGGUCGAAAAGGAAAAACUACUCUUAGAAUUGGUAAGUCUUUCUUUUUUUUAAUGCUACUAGAACUUAUACCCCUUAUAUGUCCGGUGGGCUAAAAUUAAAACAGCCUUAAUGGUUAUGCCUUAACGUUUAAUUAUUUCCUUAAUGGUUAGCUGUCAGUAUUAUUUGUGGUUCUUAUGGAACGCACCUAGGAUGUUCCUGACACAUAGUGUUUAAUAUGUAUUAGAUAUUAAUUUUAAUAUGAUAAAGCUCUUGAA